UCGCCUCUUGCUAUAUAACCUAGUAUAAGAGGUCCGGCCUGCCCAUUGACAACAUGUUUAACGGCCGCGGUAUUUUAACCGUGCAAAGGUAGCGUAAUCACUUGUCUCUUAAAUAGAGACCUGUAUGAAAGGCUAAACGAGGGCUUUACUGUCUCCCCUUUCAAGUCAGUGAAAUUGAUCUACCCGUGCAGAAGCGGACAUAAUAAUACAAGACGAGAAGACCCUUUGGAGCUUAAGGUACAAAACUCAACCACGUCAAACAACUCAUUAAAAAGCAAGAACUUUGUGGAACUGGGAUCCUACCUUCGGUUGGGGCGACAAUGGAGUAUAAUAUAACCUCCAAGUGGACUGGGGUAAUAAACCCUAAAACCAAGAGAAACACCUCUAGACCACAGAAUAUCUGACCAAACAUGAUCCGGCCACUAAAGCUGAUUAACGAACCAAGUUACCCUAGGGAUAACAGCGCAAUCCUCUCUCAGAGUCCCUAUCGACGAGAGGGUUUACGACCUCGAUGUUGGAUCAGGACAUCCUAAUGGCGCAGCCGCUAUUAAGGGUUCGUUUGUUCAACGAUUAAAGUCCUACGUGAUC
rnacentral:rRNA from 1 species